CUAGGUACGUGGUUCCUCCAUUCAAUCAGACUCAGGCGGCUCGCACACCCAAAGCUGCCGUUUGUGGGGUGCAGUGAAGGGUGGUGCUGGUGGACGUGGGGGACUCAGUGGAGGCUGAAGCGCGGAUGAAGGCAGCGGCAGGGCCAAGAUGCCGACCAGGAUCUGAGACAGACUCGUCAUCUGCCUGUGACGCCCUCCACACUCCGCUUCGGUCCAUCUGGCUUCUUAGAGCCUCCCCCAACUGCCUUCCAGCCGGGACGGGCCAGCACACCCAAUGAAAGGCUACUAAGGGCGGAGAGAACACAUGUGAGGAACCGAACUCAGCAUGUCCCGGAAGUUCUGAUCCAGCUGCAGGGACCCCCAGGGACCCCCCCCCCUUUCGGGGCUUAGACUGCUCCUCCUCUUCCUUCUGUGCUCGAGGUCCCUGGGGAGAGGCCUUUCCAUGGCCCCUGGAGAAACUGGUAAAGGCCAUACGUCACAGCCUCAGCCUAGGCAGGGGCCAUUUCUCUUCACAAUGUCCCCUCACAGUAGGGACCAUCAGGCCCACCAUGGAGGAGAGAAGAGAUGGCACGGAGAUAGAGACCACUAGAAAUGGGAGAGACGAGGAGAGUGACCAGCUUCACUGUGCCUCAUGAGCAUUCCACACAAACUCUGUGAGCCUCCCAGCUGUGUAGACGGAGAAGCGGUGUGGGUCAUGAACUGGCCAUCUAGAGUUCUGCUGAGUGUCCUGGUGGAAUCUCAACCUCAGCUCUGACGAAGGCGGGCAUGGCAGCAGAAGACACCCCUGUACCCUGCUGUGCUCCAAAGAGUACAAUCUUGGGGCUCAGGCGGGACUCAGUGUCUGAUGCAUGUGCCAAAGGGCAGCAAUCACCCCCUGCCCCGUCUCAGGGGCACCCGUGCCCAGUGGAUUCUGCUUGCGAAGUUAGCCAUCAACCAGAAUGAUGUCUUUAUUAUACUCAGCAUAUUCAUCCAACCAAAAAAUCAAUUUAUGGCAGCUAUUAUUAAAGAUACUGUAUUAAAUAUACU